GAUGAACGCUAGCUACAGGCUUAACACAUGCAAGUCGAGGGGCAGCAUGAACAAAGCUUGCUUUGUUUGAUGGCGACCGGCGCACGGGUGCGUAACACGUAUCCAAUCUGCCCGCGGCUCGGGGAUAGCCCAUCGAAAGAUGGAUUAAUACCCGAUGGCGUGGUCACUCCGCAUGGAGUUUCCACUAAAGGUUUUCCGGCCGCGGAUGAGGAUGCGUAUGAUUAGGUAGUAGGCGGGGUAACGGCCCACCUAGCCUUCGAUCAUUAGGGGUUCUGAGAGGAAGGUCCCCCACACUGGAACUGAGACACGGUCCAG
rnacentral:rRNA from 1 species